GAUGAAUAGUUUAGUUGGUUUAUGUGGUUCAGUGUUUAUUUACAUUUGAAAAUGUGGAUUUCUGGAUUUUGUAAAAUAAAAGGUUUUCUACCCCUCGUGGUAGCGUUUUUAACGAAUAAAUGUUUCCGUGUAGGAAACAGUUUUCAAAAGGAUUUUUCGUGGAUUUCUGUUUAAACAUUGAAUGUAAAACUGUGAUGUGAAUGGUGAAUAUAUGAAUGUAUAGUUAUCUUUAUAUUCAUCUAGUGGUGGUU
rnacentral:lncRNA from 1 species